rnacentral:misc_RNA from 1 species
UUUAAAUUCGUUAUAUCCAUCCCUUAUAUGUAGACAUGCGAGUUGAUAUUUAUACAUAAAUAAUAGAACAAUAAGAGUUACAUGAAAAAAUUAAAACCAACAGGUUCCAACCAAUAUACUAUAUAUUUUCUUAAUAAUUUAUAAACCUACUUAAUAAUUUUUUUCAAAGAGAAGGUCCAAGAACCCCACUAAAGAGCCAAAGCAUAUCAUGUAAAAGAAUCAUUGGUGAUUAUGGAAGAUAUCAUUACAGAAUAUAGAAUCAUCCGCUACAGGCUCUGGGGGCAUUGGUUGGUGACCCACAUAGUACAAGCCAACUAUGCAGAGAUAAUAGUAAAAAUUCCAAGGUUCCAUGGCUAUGUUCUAUUGCUAUUGGAAACUCGUUUCCUACAAAAAAUAAAGAGUACCUGUAUAGACAAUGUUAUUGGGUACGUUUUAACAUUUUAUCAACACUGCUAUGAAAGGGAAAAGAAAAAGAUUUAGAAUUCCAAGAAUCAAGUUCCGACUGGAAACAUACCCAUGGUGGAGCAGCCAAAACCCUUGUGAAAAUGGGCUGGAGUGACUUGUUGAAGAAACUUGUCCUCAACUUGUUCAGGAACUGCACAUUUUGCUUACUUGCUCAUAAAUGGGUAGUUUUUCCUUUCCUUUUCUUCUUCCUCCUUUUGCAUGCUCCGCUAGAAGGCCCCUACUGCCAUUGAAUUUUUCCAUGAGUUGGAUAAAGUUGCAAGUUAGUCUUAUUUAUAUUUUUAUCCACAUUUAGAUUUGGGUUCAUUUCACUAUUGAUUCUUUUUCCUGGUUGUUCUUGUUCUUUUUUUCAUUCGUUUUUUCUUUCAUUUUUCUCUUGUUUUUUUUCUUCUUUUUUCCCUUUGUAGAAUUGGACCCAAUGUAAGUCUUUUGACAGGCUUGGAUAAUCAAGCAAACAUGAAGAUCGUCUUUUGGAAUUUUAGCAAGCAUAAGCUUCGCCGAUUUUUGGUCCCCUGAAGCCAAAAGGGCUUGAUACAUCCUUAAAUAACUCGUGACGUUGUAAGGAUAUCCGGCAGCCUCAUACUCUUUCCAGAUCGAAAGAGAAUUAUGCAAAUCUUUGGCCCUACCACAAGCACUGAGGAGAAAAUCAAGAGAUUUCCGAGAUGGACAAACACAAAGCUCAUCCUUAAUGGCUUGAAGCAACUCCAGUCCCAUAUGCAGCUCCAUAGGCUGUGUCUCAGCAAACAGUGAGAAAACCUCAUCGAAAAGAACUUGCAUGACCAACUCAUCACUGCUGAUUCUAUCCUUAAGUUGCUUGAGCAGAUUGACGGCAGAACUUAUAUGCUUGUUACGCAUACAAUACAUGAUAACUCUGCAGCAACCGUCCACCCAAUAGUCAGGAUCUUGCAAUUCUUCCAGAAGCUUAAGCAAUCUACUUAUUUCGCCUUCAGAUUGAAGAUGAUCAAUAAGACAUAUGACAGAUUUUGGCUCCAAAGAGUUUCCAGCAUUCUUGAUUUCUUCAUAUAAACCAAGGGCAUCAUCCAAUUGACCAUGUGAUGCAAGAGCUGAGACAAGUACACUUUUGAUUUCGUUAAAGUUCUUAAGAGGAAUCCUUUCGUCUGAGAGUACCUGUUUUGCCUUCUCAAACUGCCCACAAGUUGCAUAUGCAUUAAUGAGUGCCAUGUAAAUUUGCUUUGACACUGAAAUUCCAGCAAUCUUCAGUUCUUCGUGGUACUUGAUAAUUUGAUCUUCAUUGUCACAGUUGACUAUUAAAUAGCUGUAAGUUUGAGAAUCAGGUUUUACACCUGCAAGUUUCAUUUUCUUGAAAACCGCUAAUGCACCAUUAAUGUUUUUCUCUCGAAAAUAUACUGCCAUUAUAGCAUUGUACAUACUUGCUGUAGGUGUCAACUUUAAUUUCUUUAAAUCAUCAAGCAGAUCAUAUGCACCACCAAAAUCUUUCAUUUUUGCCCUCAAACUUAUCAUGCUCCUGAAAGUCUCACAAUUUGGUAUCAAGUUAUGAUGGCGGACCAAAGAAUAAAUCCGUUGACCCAAAUUAAACUCAAAGCUUGCCUCGCUAGCAAGCAAUAUAGAAUUUAGCAUGUCUAUGGAUAAGGUUAAACCCUCUCUGCAAAUCUGGUCAACUACAUCAAGAGCUGCAUGCACCUUAUGGGAAUCACAACAAAAUAUUAUGAGCUUCUCAUAUAACUUUAAAGCAGGUGCAAUCUCCAGCACUGAGUGCAUGUUUUUGAAUUUUAAAAUGGCAUCCUCAACCGCUAAAUUAGGGAUGCUAGUAGCAUAACUAAAGAUGAGAGUUGAUAUAUUCUCUAUGCCAUAAUCACAUUCUUUGAAUUCCAAAAGGAACUUCUCUGCCAGGGGCUCCAACAUUAGUCUCCCUAAGGAUUUAAAGAUGCUUACCGCAUGGUCCAAAGAUGAAACUUUUGUUAUAUCUAUAAUCUCUAACAACUGCAACAGCUCAUUCUUCUGUUCUGUUUCGCAAAGUGCUAAUAAAUAAUUUUCUUGUAAAGUUAUAGUUUCAUUUGAAUGGUUGUUAGAAAUAUGAUUGCAGAGUUCCUGAAUCUUUUCUUUGUUAUUGACUCUAGCAUGUAGGAGCAUCUCAUAGUAACCUAAUCUUCCAAGCGAACUUGGGUUAUCCUCCUUGAUAAAUUUACAGAAAAAGUUGAAUUCUUCUACCAUACCCAUAUCAAUUAUAUACAUAAGAAAUGGACCAUAAGUUUCAUUUUCUAGCUGGAAACCCUGCUCCUUCAUUAACUUCAUAAGUUUAAAAGCCCUGGAAAUAUACUCCAAGGCAAAAUCCUCAUCAUCACUUUCCCUAGCCUUAUUAAUGCAAAUCUCUAUCAAAGCAUUGUAUUCUUUCACACCAUUUUCACGUCCUAAUUUUCCAAAUGCAACCAUUGUAGCUCGUACCCCCAGUGUCUGUGCACACAAUUUAACUAACCGGUCAAAACGAUUGCCUUGAGUAGAUUUAAAAAUCCAUGUAUCUUUCCUUUUGCGGGAUACUUCUUUCCGUCGUUCAGAUCUAAUCUCAGUAUGGAAAUUAGGAACCCAAGGUAUUUCCAACUUGUUUUCCAAAGAUGUCUUUCUGCUGGUUCGUUGCAAAUCAGGUGAGGCAACUGAAGCAUCACCUGCUAAUAUCGAAGAAAUUUCCAGCGCUAGCUGCUUGGUAUCUUCUUCGUAAUCUGAACCGGAGUCUUCUGCGUUGAGGAUGGGGAUAGCAGAAAGAAUGGAGAGCGAAGGAGCAUUUAUAGGAUCAAGCGGUGGUUUAGGGAAUUUCACUGAGCCUUUAGUAAUGGAAUGAGAAAUAGAUGGAGAUGAGAUGUCGAGAGAGGACACAUAAUGUUUAAGAGCUGCAUCCAUCCCCUGUGAGGUUUUAACGGUAGUGGUGGUGGCCGCUGUGGAGGUGGCGGCGGCUUUAGCUUUGGCUUUGGCUUUUAACGAAGAGCCGAAGAGAGAGCUCAAGUUCUUGAGCUUGCGCAUUUGGGAACUGAGGAGGGUUUUGGGUUUCUGUUCCCAUUUUU